rnacentral:rRNA from 1 species
UACGGAGGGUGCGAGCGUUGUUCGGAAUCACUGGGCGUAAAGCGCGUGUAGGCGGCUUCCUAAGUCUGGUGUGAAAUCCCGGGGCUCACCCCCGGAAGUGCACUGGAUACUGGGAAGCUCGAGUACCGGAGAGGAGGGUGGAAUUCCUGGUGUAGCGGUGAGAUGCGUAGAUAUCAGGAGGAACACCUGUGGCGAAGGCGGCCCUCUGGACGGAUACUGACGCUGAGACGCGAAAGCGUGGGGAGCAAACAGG